rnacentral:rRNA from 1 species
UACAGAGGUCCCGAGCGUUGUUCGGAUUCACUGGGCGUAAAGGGUGCGUAGGUGGUGAGGUAAGUCGGAUGUGAAAUCUCAGGGCUCAACCCGGAAAUGGCAUUGGAAACUACCUUGCUAGAGGAUUUGAGGGGGGAUUGGAAUACUUGGUGUAGCAGUGAAAUGCGUAGAUAUCAAGUGGAACACCAGUGGCGAAGGCGAAUCCCUGGAAAAUACCUGACACUGAGGCACGAAAGCUAGGGGAGCAAACAGG